GCACUCGAUACGGACAACUAGAGUUUGGUAGGGAGAGACUGAAUCCUGUGUAGGCGGUGGAAUGGCGCAGAUAUCAGGANACACCAUUGCGAAGCCAGUCUCUGGGCCAUACUGACACUGAGGAGCGAAAGCGCGGGGAGCGACCAGGAUUAGAUACCCUGGUAGUCCGCGNGUAAACGAUGGGCGCUAGUUGUGGGGACCUUCCACGGUUUCUGCGACGCAGCUAACGCAUUAAGCGCCCCGCUGGGGAGUACGAUCGCAGGAUUAAAACUCAAAGGANUGACGGGACCCGCACAAGCAGCGGAGCAUGCGCUUAAUUCGACGCAACGCGAAGAACCUUACCAAGGCUUGACAUAUAGUGAAAAGCGGCAGAGAUGUCGUGUCCGCAAGGGCGCUAUACAGGUGGUGCAUGGUUGUCGUCAGCUCGUGUCGUGAGAUGUUGGGUUAAGUCCCGCAACGAGCGCAACCCUCGUUCUGUGUUGCCAGCAUUAAGUUGGGGACUCACAGGAGACUGCCGUGGUUAACACGGAGGAAGGUGGGGAUGACGUCAAAUCAUCAUGCCCCUUAUGUCUUGGGCUGCACGCAUGCUACAAUGGCCGAUACAAAGGGCUGCGAUACCGUAAGGUGGAGCGAAUCCCAUAAAGUCGGUCUCAGUUCGGAUUGAGGUCUGCAACUCGACCUCAUGAAGUCGGAGUUGCUAGUAAUCGUAGAUCAGCAACGCUACGGUGAAUACGUUCCCGGGUCUUGUACACACCGCCCGUCACGUCACGAAAGUCGGUAACACCCAAAGUCAGUGGCCCAACCGUAAGGGGGGAGCUGCCUAAGGUGGGAUCGGUGAUUGGGACGAAGUCGUAACAAGGUA
rnacentral:rRNA from 1 species